rnacentral:lncRNA from 1 species
UCGAAGUUUGCUAUUCUGAAAAUCCUAAUUCAAUAUCAUAUACUAGUAUAUGAAGUUCAAACUAAUCCCAUGAUAUCAUAUCCACCGUAUGUACUAACCAUUGCCUAUGAGCAAAAUAAAGAUACCAAAAAAAAUAAAAAAAUAAAAAAUAAAUAAAGAUACCAUCAUAUUGAAACGAUUUGACUAAUGACACAAAUUUAUUCAGAUUUUUUUUAUUUUAUUUUACAUUUCGUAAAUGAUCAAGUAAUCAUAUCCUCUAUAAAAAAAAUGGAACAAUAUCAGAUAGGGUAAACUGUCACCAUAUAUAUAUGUGUAACUUUG